UACGUAGGGACCAAGCGUUGUUCGGAUUUACUGGGCGUAAAGGGCGCGUAGGCGGCCAUUCAAGUCAGCUGUGAAAUCUCUGGGCUUAACUCGGAACGGUCAGCUGAUACUGCUUUGCUAGAGUGCAGAAGGGGCAAUCGGAAUUCUUGGUGUAGCGGUGAAAUGCGUAGAUAUCAAGAGGAACACCUGAGGUGAAGACGGGUUGCUGGGCUGACACUGACGCUGAGGCGCGAAAGCUAGGGUAGCAAACGGG
rnacentral:rRNA from 1 species